rnacentral:rRNA from 1 species
GGUAAGGUAACGGCUUACCAUGGCUAUGAUGUCUAGGGGUUCUGAGAGGAAGGUCCCCCACACUGGAACUGAGACACGGUCCAGACUCCUACGGGAGGCAGCAGUGAGGAAUAUUGGACAAUGGAUGGAAAUCUGAUCCAGCCAUGCCGCGUGAAGGAAGAAGGUCCUAUGGAUUGUAAACUUCUUUUGUAUGGGAGCAAUAAGGCCUACGUGUAGGUUGAUGAGAGUACCAUACGAAUAAGCACCGGCUAACUCCGUGCCAGCAGCCGCGGUAAUACGGAGGGUGCAAGCGUUAUCCGGAUUUAUUGGGUUUAAAGGGUGCGUAGGCGGUUAUUUAAGUCAGUGGUGAAAGUUUUCGGCUCAACCGGAAAAUUGCCAUUGAUACUGGGUAGCUAGAAUAUGGUUGCUGUGAGUAGAAUGUGUGGUGUAGCGGUGAGAUGCAUAGAUAUCACACAGAAUACCGAUUGCGAAGGCAUCUCACAAAGCCAUCAUUGACGCUGAGGCACGAAAGUGUGGGGAUCAAACAGGAUUAGAUACCCUGGUAGUCCACACUGUAAACGAUGAUAACUAGCUGUUGGCGAUACACAGUCAGUGGCCAAGCGAAAGCGAUAAGUUAUCCACCUGGGGAGUACGACCGCAAGGUUGAAACUCAAAGGAAUUGACGGGGGCCCGCACAAGCGGAGGAACAUGUGGUUUAAUUCGAUGAUACGCGAGGAACCUUACCCGGGCUCGAACGGUGCAGAUAUGGCAGAGAUGUCAUAGCUAGCAAUAGUCUGUAUCGAGUGCUGCAUGUUGUCGUCAGCU